UUAAAGUGAUAUCAUUGUCUUUUCUUUUUAGGAAAACUUGGUAUGUGUGUAUACAAUUCUCUCCAGAAACCAUUGAACAGUUGGGUGGUUAAAAUUUAAAUUUUGGGGGAUUAUAGCGCCUUCUCAAAUUAAAUGCGAGUAAUAUGGCUUCACUGAUUGCUUAUCUGCUUCUGGUGUUGCCAUUUUAGUAAUAUAAGAUAACAUUCCAACUGCAAGUAACCUGAUCAGUGUAUACUUAUCAGGGUUUACCAUGAGUUCACACAAACCUUUAACCCAUAAACUAUUAUAAAGAAAGCAAGCUUUGCAUAAGAUAAACCUAAAAAAAAAACCAACAAAUCCUAUUUCUUUCGUCCUUACAUAUUUUAUUUUCUGAUGUUAUUUAAUAACCUGUUCUUAUAUGGUCAUUGCUAGUACAGAAUUCAUAUUGAUAUAUAGAAACUGUGCUCUAAGUGGAAACACAAAAAAACGCAGUGUGUGAGAAUGGAGUUUGCAAGUAUUAAAAGCGCAGUUAAAGAAAAUAUGAGGUAUUAGACACCAGGUGACCUGCACUCAGUUUUAGGAGAUGUACCUCUCUAUUGUAAAUGGAAAAUUCCAAAUUUUGAUCUAAUAGAGAUAAGAAACAAUAAGUAACUUCUAAAGUUAACAAAUUUUGAUUUAUGCUAAAACUGUAGCUCUAAUAUUAUGGUAAUUCAAACUUUAUUUUUUAUAUCAAAUUCUGUUUGUAUUCUAAAGUUUUUAGAAUUGGAUGGAAAGAUUAUGAAAAACCGUUUGAUCUACAGCUUUGUGCAGAUUUGGGUUUCUUUUGUUAUGGUGUACAGCAUUAUCCUUUAAAUAUUUCCUCUGAACCCUUCCAAAAGACCUUUUUAUUUUAGGAUAUUUCUACUACUGUGGCAGAUCUCUGAUAGUUAGGUAGAAGAUUAUUAACUUAGCUCUGUUAAUUGAAAGAUAUCUAAAAACAGUUACAUGAGGACAUGUUUGCAAAAACAUUUGUUUUAAGGCACUUUACUUCUUACAGGGAUUUUUUUUUUUUUUAUCUGUCUGUGUCUGAAUGCUUGUUUCUAUACACUGCUGCAGGACAGUUAAAGUGAAAGCCUGUGAAAUAUUGUAUUGUGCCUACCUCCAAUCAAUCUAGCAUUUUUAUCCAUCUGUAUUGACCUGCUGUCAUAUUCAAACAUUUGAGAGAGCUGUGUAUCCACUUUCAUUUAAAUACAGAAUCUUUGUUUUUUUCCAGAUGUGUGGUUAAGAAAUAGGGAUAAGAAAAUCUCUUGUGGAUCUGUAUGUGUUUUUUGCCCCCUUCCCGCCCCCUGCUCACACACUCACUUUUUUUUUCUUCAUAAUUUAUGAAAAUACCAAAAUAAUGACCCCAUUAAUUCAAAUGACAGAUUGGUGAGCAUCUGUAUAUUUCCAUCAUGGAACAAUAUUUUUUUAGUGGGCACAACUUGUAGGUGUAAUGGAAUACUUGCCUAUAUCUAGUUAAAAAAAUGGUUUUUAACAGUGAAUAUAAUCUAUGGCCUGCUAAUUUAAGCCUGAAAUGGUUAUACACAAGUGCAUUAAAGCCAGCAUGUCAUUAUCCUUUAAAAAAAAAUAAAAAAUGCCUGUUUGAUGUCAAAAUUCCCUAACAGUAUUGGAGCAUUAUCAUUGGCACAAUUUAGUGCAUAUAUUCCUAAAUGUAUUGCCCUGUUUUGACUUUUCUAGGCCCUUUAGAGAACUCUGUAAUCUAUUGUCCUAUCACUAAUGCAUUAAUGACUUUGCCAACAAAAGGCUUUAAAAAUGUAUUGCAGGCCUCUACUGUGGUCACAAAAUUUGCAAACACUUGUGUUCUUGACAUGACUGCUGUUUCUCUGCCAAUCCCCAAUCUUUGUGACUGAAUCUUACAUGUGGCUGUAUGUACAUACUCUGAUUUCAUGUAGAGGUUUAAACUUGAUGCUGUAUCUUUCAGCCCCUGUGAAUUUUAAUUUCAUAUUUUUUGUUUUGUUCAUUUUAGUUUCACUUCACACUAAAUCUACUGGCUUUCUUUUCCUCAUGUUACCGUGAGAAACAUUUCAUUCUGAUGCCAAAAUAAAACUAUUCUGUAAAACGUGGUCUGUGAUUGAGC